UCAGCCCUGGGCUCUGCUCUGGCAAUGGGAGCUGGUCUUUGGGGCUGGGAGAGCUCCCAGCACUGCUGGGGGAACCCCUGCAGGGCCUGAGGUGUGUUCUGGGUGAUGAUAAAUUCAUGUUCUUCUGCAUGGUGAUUUCCCUCUGGUGUGUGCUCAAAGGAGAGGGAAAAAGGUGACCGUGGAAAGAAAGGCACAGGUUUUUUGCCACAUCAUUAUUUUGAUACCCAGUGGUUUGUACGGCUGGAUGUCGACGGUGUGCCAAAGGCCUUGGAGCAGCAGUGCUCAGGAAUGAGCGAGGUACCCAAGGUGAGGUCACUGUGAGCAGCAAAUCAAGGUGGGUUCCUCUGAAAAGGAAAACAGAGCAAGUCUGAGAGGAUUUGUCAGCCCAGUGGGUUGUGCCCUGGAGGAAGCAGCUUUCUCAGGAGUUUAGGGAGCCACUUCUACAGCCACUGAAACCUGGGCAGCAGCUGUCUUCAGUGCUGACAGAACAAAGCCUAAAGCACUCUGGUGACAAGGGGACAAGGGGACAGGGUGAGCUGCUCACCAUGGGCCGCUGCUGGGAGGGGCCGGGCAUGGCCAGCCCGCUGCUCGUGUUCACAGCCUUCUUGGUGAGCUGGAUGUAGACAUUGCCGUGGUCCUUGGACACCAGGCAGUGGUACAGGUCAUCAUACCUGACCUCCAGGAAAAUGCAAUCCCUGUCUGUGCAGUCCCCACUCUUCAGGAAAUACACGGCCUUGGAGGAGAUGAGCACGCAGUAGCUGUCGAUGUUCUCUACGGCGAUGAAGCUGCAACCAAGGAGAAUGUAAAAAGCAUUAUUAGCUUAAAGUAAAAAUAGCAAAUGAA